AUGUUAGAGCCCACCAAGGAACCAUUGAAACCACUAUCUGCUGCAGAAAAAAUUGCUUCCAUUGGUCAGACAACCACCAUGACAGCAGAGAUGAACACAUGCACAUCUGAUCAAUUCCAGGAGUCUCUACCACCCGUCCAGUUUGACUGGAGUAGCAGUGGCCUUACUAACCCUUUAGAUGGUGUGGAUCCAGAAUUGUAUGAGUUAACAACCUCUAAGCUGGAAAUCUCCACCUCAAGCCUCAAAGUGACUGAUGCAUUUGCGAGACUCAUGUCCACAGUAGAGAAGACGAGCACAUCUACCAGGAAACCAAAAAGAGAAGAACACUUGAGUGAAGAAGCUAUCAAGGUGAUUGCCAGCCUUCCUGACUUGACAUUCAUGCAUGCCAAGGUGUUGAUGUUCCCAGCCACAUUAACACCUUCCACAAGCUCCCAAGGACAAGCAGACUGAUAACUGCUGUGAACUGGACGGUUGCAAUGCUUUUCUUUUCCAUCUCUUCCCUACCAUCAAAAGCAUAUCUGCUCUUAACUAAAAAAAAAAUAAUAAAAAAAUUCAAGUUCAGCUGAUUUGUUGGUAAGCCGCACUAGAAAGGUAUACAUAGUAAUGUAUAUUUAUUUACAUACUGAAGUCCUAAAUUUAUAUUAGAAAAAAAUGUAAAUAAUUGGGGGUGAACAUUUUUGAAGAUUUAUUCUUUUUGUGUUGCUGGGGUAUAUACAUUUAUGUCUUUGUGAAAUACACUGGUGGUGUCCUUCUUAUAAAACUUUUGAAAUAAAAAAAGAAAAUUAAAAACUCAAAUCUCCACUGUCUGUGAAAUCCCCUUCAGUCUUUUCAGAUUGCAUUGAAUGGCCUCUUAAUUUUUCAUAUCCUAUGUUUAAUUACUUUCACUGUCAUAAAUAAGCUCCAGAGUCCUUGUUUGAUUUUUUUAAAAUUUUGUGUGUGAUGAUUUGUUUCAGAUCUGGCAUUUGUUAAUAUUUUUGGGCUCUUUUUUACUCUUGUCAGUGUGGCAUAUAGCUAUUUGACCUUUUGCAAGGUAUCUCAUCAGUUACUCUUUUGUUAUAGGGUAUAGAUCAUUGUUGGAACUUGAUUGGAGGGGUUUAAAGAGAUUGUGUCUGUUUUUACAUCAAUUUAAUUUAGAGAAGGACCAAAUUAUAUGAAUGUCUUACAAUGAAAUUGUUACUGAUUUUUUGUUGUUGUUGUUCUGUCAUACCACUAGUUUAUGAGGAUUUUGCACAGUGUAAAAUGACAUAAUCAUAGAUUGCUAUGGUUUAGGCGGCAUAUACAGUAAAAACUAUGGGUUUUAAAUGUUUGGGGAAAUUCCUAUGGAAAAAAGAGAGACAUGUAGAAGAACCUCUAACAAGGUUAAUGUGCAUGCCCAAGGUCUUUUGAGAUUUCAGUGUGUAAAUUUCCUUUUAGCUUACACAAAAAUAAAAUAAUUUAAAAGAAAUUUAGUCUUGUGUCUUUGUAUUUUGGUAUCUGAGGAAAAAUAUAAUGUAUUUGGAUAUGAAGUUUUAUUGAUAUACUUC
rnacentral:lncRNA from 1 species